rnacentral:lncRNA from 1 species
UUUUUUGCAAAUUAUUUUUAAAACUAAUACUAGCAAAUUUAUAUUUACAAAACUGGCCCUACCCUGCCACGCAAGCGCCACGUCAGCGCCACGCGUUCGGGUUGGGGCGGUAGUUAAGUUAAACACGAUAAACUAUCCACCGUAUCUAAAUACGGUGAAUGGUUCACCGUGUUUAGAUAGUAUAUAUUUUUUGCAAUAUAAAUAUUGAAAAGAGGAAUAGGGAGUAGGGAUGUCAAUAGGUAUAGAUAUCUGAAAUAUUAUCCGAACCCAAACCCGAAUAAAUUAUAUAUAUACAUAAUUUAUUUUUAUUUAUUUAUACAAUAUAUAAAAUAUUUAAUAAUUUUUAUUUCUUAGAUCUUCAUCUAACGGUAUAGAUUUUUAAAACCCGUUGGAUUCAGUUUCGGGUUUCGAGUUUUUGGUCGGAUAUGGAUAUGGGUAUGAAUUUUUAAAAUCCGUCGGGUUCAGAUCUGGGUUUGGGUUUUAAUUUGAUUUUCGGGUUCGGGUUCGGGUUCGAAUUUUUAAAAAAGAGAAGAAAAUGAAUACAAAUAAGAAAUACGGUUAACCAUUCACUGUGUUUGAACACGGUGAAUGGUUCAUCGUGUUCAACUUAACACACUCGCCCCGGCCCUGCCCGCGUGGCGCUGACGUGGCACCUGCGUGGCAGACCCAGGGCUAUUUUUAUAUAUUAAAUUUUGAUAGGAUUAUUUUUUAAAUAAAAAUUGUCAGGGGGCUAAAUGCAAAAAAAGCCCCCCCUCGUCUCCUUUGAAACGGCACUAGUACGAUCACAGCCGUUCGUUUUUAGGUGUCACUUGUCGCGGCGCGAGGUCUUUCCCAGGCCCACUCGGGCGCUGCCGGCCUGUUGUUUUUGCUUUUUGAGUAGUCACAAUAUUAAAAUUCUUCUAUUAAUUUAAUUUAGAAUUUGAAAUGUUAUUUUUGGAUCUCACAAUCUCACUUCAACUUCUAUCACAAUACCGACCAUUCCUAAUGCAAGUAGCAAAAAAUUUGGUGAUUCAUACUCAAGGUCUGAAGUUCGAAUUGAUUCACAUUUCCAACUAAAGCACCGUUUGGAUACCUCUUAAAAUGUAGCAUAGUUAAAUUAUAUCUCACCGGUAGGAAAAUUAUUCUGUGAAGCGUUUGGAAGAAAAAAAAAUAACAUAAUUUUUUGAGUAUAUUUAAACUAUACUUCAAAAAAUAGAGUAAAAUUAUAAUGCACUCUAACCAAAGAGAAAGAAUUCCACCAUUCUUGGGCUCUCUUAUCCUAAAUAUAUGUCAAGUUCUAAAUUUUAAAUUUCAACAUAAAAUUUGAAAUUUCAAUCUAGAUUUUAAAAUUUAUAAUUAAAUUUAUAGUAAAAUUUUUAAUUUCAAAUUAUAAAUAUUGAAUUUUAAAUUUUAAAUAUCAAGAUUAUAAAUUUUAUAAUUUCAAAAUUUAAAUGUCAAAUUUUAAAUUUCAAACUUUCUAAUUUCAUAAUUAUAAAUUUUAAUUUUUGAAUAUCAAAUUUUAAAUUUUAGUUUUCAAAUAAUAAAUUUCAAAUUUUAAAUUUUAAAUCUUUUAGUUCUAUAAUUUCAAAUUUUAAUUUUUAAUUUUUAAUUUUAAAAUUUUGAAUUUCAUUUUAAAUUUUAAUUUUCAAAUUUUAAAUUUUAUAUUUCAUAUUUCAAAUAUUAAAUUUUAAAUUUUAAAUUUUAAAUUUAAAUUUAAAUUUUAAAUUUUAAAUUUCAAAUUUUAAAAAUUAAAUUUAGAUUUUUCUAUUUCAAAUUUUCAAUUUUUAAAUUACAAAUUUGAAAUUUUAAAAUUUCAUAUUUCACAUUUCACAUUUCACAUUUCACAUUUCACAUUUCGAAUUUUAAAUUUUAAAUUUUCAUUAAAAUUUUAAAUUUUAAAUUUUUUAAAAAAAAUUUAGAGAAAUUUGGUGAAAUUGCGCAAUGCAUAUCCAAACAGUGUAAAAAUUGAAUCCGUGAAUUUUUUUAGAGUUACAGGAUUUCCUAUUUCAUCUAGACUAAAAAUACAGUUUAUAAAUUACAUGAAAAUUUUUUACUGUGCAUCCAAACAGGCACUAAGUGUUUAUUUCUAAAAGAAAUAAACGAAGUGGAUAGUAUAUUACCUUUCUCUAAAAAAAAAAAAAAAAAAUUCUAUC